GACGAACGCUGGCGGCGUGCUUAACACAUGCAAGUCGAACGAUGAAGAAAAGAAUCGAAGCUUCGGCAGAAAUUCAUUUCGGAUUAGUGGCAGACGGGUGAGUAACGCGUGAGCAACCUACCUCUUACAAAGGGAUAGCCUCGGGAAACCGGGAUUAAUACCAUAUAACAUUGCGACGAAGCAUUUCGAUGCAAUCAAAGCUACGGCGGUAAGAGAUGGGCUCGCGUCCCAUUAACCGGAUGGUGAGGUAACGGCUCACCAUAGUGACGAUGGGUAACCGGCCUGAGAGGGUGAACGGUCACACUGGAACUGAGACACGGUCCAGACUCCUACGGGAGGCAGCAGUGGGGAAUAUUGCACAAUGGAGGGAACUCUGAUGCAGCGACGCCGCGUGAGUGAUGAAGGAAUUCGUUUCGUAAAACUCUGCUCUAUGGGAAGAGAAGGACUGUACCAUAGGAGAAAGCUCCGGCUAAAUACGUG
rnacentral:rRNA from 1 species